rnacentral:rRNA from 1 species
CCUACGGGGGGCUGCAGUGGGGAAUAUUGGACAAUGGGGGGAACCCUGAUCCAGCCAUGCCGCGUGUGUGAAGAAGGCCCUCGGGUUGUAAAGCACUUUCAGUGAGGAAGAACGCCUGGUGGUUAAUACCCAUCAGGAAAGACAUCACUCACAGAAGAAGCACCGGCUAACUCCGUGCCAGCAGCCGCGGUAAUACGGAGGGUGCGAGCGUUAAUCAGAAUUACUGGGCGUAAAGCGCGCGUAGGUGGCUUGAUAAGCCGGUUGUGAAAGCCCCGGGCUCAACCUGGGAACGGCAUCCGGAACUGUCAAGCUAGAGUGCAGGAGAGGAAGGUAGAAUUCCCGGUGUAGCGGUGAAAUGCGUAGAGAUCGGGAGGAAUACCAGUGGCGAAGGCGGCCUUCUGGACUGACACUGACACUGAGGUGCGAAAGCGUGGGUAGCAAACAGGAUUAGAUACCCCGGUAGUC